rnacentral:rRNA from 1 species
GACAGAGGGUGCAAACGUUGUUCGGAAUUACUGGGCGUAAAGCGCAUGUAGGCGGCUCGGCAAGUCGGAUGUGAAAGCCCAGGGCUCAACCCUGGAAGUGCACUCGAAACUCCCGAGCUGGAGUCCCGGAGAGGAAGGCGGAAUUCUCGGUGUAGAGGUGAAAUUCGUAGAUAUCGAGAGGAACACCUGUGGCGAAGGCGGCCUUCUGGACGGUGACUGACGCUGAGAUGCGAAAGCGUGGGGAGCAAACAGG